rnacentral:rRNA from 1 species
UCCCGACACGGGGAGGUAGUGACGAAAAAUAACAAUACAGGACUCACAUGAGGCCCUGUAAUUGGAAUGAGUACAUUCUAAAACUCUUAACGAGUAUCCAUUGGAGGGCAAGUCUGGUGCCAGCAGCCGCGGUAAUUCCAGCUCCAAUAGUGUAUGCUAAAGUUGUUGCGGUUGAAAAGCUCGUAGUUGGAUUUUGGGCGGGCGCGGCCGGUCCGUCGCAGGGCGUGUUACUGGCCGCGUCUGCCUCACCUUCGGUUCUCUGUCGGUGCUCUUGACUGAGUGUCGGCGGUGUCCGAUAAGUUUACUUUGAAAAAAUUAGAGUGUUCAAAGCAGGCUGCUYGCCUGAAUAGUGUUGCAUGGAAUAAUGGAAUAGGACCUCGGUUCUAUUUUGCUGGUUUUCGGAGCACGAGGUAAUGAUUAAGAGGGACAGACGGGGGCGUCCGUACUCUGCCGUUAGAGGUGAAAUUCUUGGAUCGGCGGAAGACGAACUACUGCGAAAGCAUUCGCCAAGAAUGUUUUCUUUAAUCAAGAGCGAAAGUCAGAGGUUCGAAGACGAUCAGAUACCGUCCUAGUUCUGACUAUAAACGAUGCCAACUAGCGAUCGGGAGGCGUUACCAUGACGACCUUCCCGGCAGCUUCCGGGAAACCAAAGUCUUUGGGUUCCGGGGGAAGUAUGGUUGCAAAGCUGAAACUUAAAGGAAUUGACGGAAGGGCACCACCAGGAGUGGAGCCUGCGGCUUAAUUUGACUCAACACGGGGAAACUCACCCGGCCCGGACACAGGUAGGAUGACAGAUGAGAGCUCUCC